rnacentral:rRNA from 1 species
GAUGAACGCUGGCGGCGUGCCUAAUACAUGCAAGUCGAGCGAACAGAUGAGGAGCUUGCUCCUCUGACGUUAGCGGCGGACGGGUGAGUAACACGUGGAUAACCUACCUAUAAGACUGGGAUAACUUCGGGAAACCGGAGCUAAUACCGGAUAAUAUAUUGAACCGCAUGGUUCAAUAGUGAAAGACGGUUUUGCUGUCACUUAUAGAUGGAUCCGCGCCGCAUUAGCUAGUUGGUAAGGUAACGGCUUACCAAGGCAACGAUGCGUAGCCGACCUGAGAGGGUGAUCGGCCACACUGGAACUGAGACGCGGUCCAGACUCCUACGGGAGGCAGCAGUAGGGAAUCUACCGCAAUGGGCGAAAGCCUGACGGAGCAACGCCGCGUGAGUGAUGAAGGUCUUCGGAUCGUAAAACUCUGUUAUUAGGGAAGAACAAAUGUGUAAGUAACUAUGCACGUCUUGACGGUACCUAAUCAGAAAGCCACGGCUAACUACGUG